rnacentral:lncRNA from 12 species
CAGUAUUCCAACUGGCACCAAGGACUGCAGAGUCUGUUAGAAAGGAAACUGAUUGAUUGUAUUUUAAGAAGAAAUUUUCCUUUUUACAAAUGAUGAAAAGAUUUCAGCCAAAACAAAAUCAAUGGAUGCACACUGAGCCAGAGGAGACUGAAUUUAAAAGAAGGUGAUAGUGACAUCAGGCAAUUCUUCUAAAUAAAGCACAUGCCUACCCUCAGGUCUCUUCAGAGUCACCUCACCUGAGACCUACACUGUAGGAUCAGCCUACUGGGAACACUGCCAAGCUCAACGGAAAGGGGAAAAUACCAAGGUGGAGAACGAUGUAAUGGCUUGUAAAUCUUCUUUUUGGGAAUGCACGUAUCAAUUGCCAUCAUCCAUUUGCCAAGGCCAGUAACAUUACCAAGCCUAAAGUCAAUGAGGUACAGAUAUUCCCUGACUUAGGAUGGGGUUAUGUCCCAGUAAAUCCACUGUAAGUUGGAAAUAUCAUGAGUCAAAAAUGCAUUUAAUGCAUCUCACUUACCAAACAUCAUAGAUUAGCCUAGUUUACUUUAAAUGUGUUCAGAACAAUUUAUGAGCCCAGAGUUGGAUGAAAUCAUCUAACAAAGCUUAUUUUAUAAUAAAGUGUUGAAUAUCUCCUGUUAUUUAUUGAAU